GCCUUCGUGGUGUAGUGGUCAGUACGCUCGACGCGUAACCGAGAGCUCCAUGGUUCGAUUCCCGGUGAAGGUG
rnacentral:tRNA from 1 species